UUUUAUUAUUUUUAUUUUUAGCUGAAAAGACAUAAAGGCAGUCAGCCCAGUGGUGUUUCUUGAGAGGUAUUCCUUCAGAAAUGGAGAAGACAGAAAGCUGCGGAGACAGACAUUUGCAACAGUCUACAAUAUCGAGCUCAACAGCUCUUUUAAGAGCCAACCCUCACAAACCUCCCUAAAAACUAAAAGAGCUAUUACUGAGACUCAGCGAAUCUUGCCAUGAUCAGCUCUUCCCAGAAGAGAAGGAAGACCAAGGAAAUGAUUUGCUCAGGAUGAGGAAUGAAGACGGCCAUCUUGUGCUCAAGCAAACAGAAGUCCUCUGAUGGUCUCAUCAGCCAAAUGAGGGGUUCUGACCAAGUGAUGCUCUUGAACGGAGUGAAAGAAGAGGAUGUGGUAAAUUGUCUUCAAAGAAAAAGCUUCUCAAAAGGUCUUAAAGCAGCUUGAAG